rnacentral:misc_RNA from 1 species
UCCGGGUUGGACCCGGCGGUCCUGCCAGACAUGGUAACUGGCAGCGAGGGUUGCGCUCGUUGCGGGACUUAACCCAACACCUCACGGCACGAGCUGACGACAGCCAUGCAGCAUCUGUGCGCGCUCCCUUGCGGGUCCUCCCCCUUUCGAGGUCGUACCACGCGCAUGUCAAGCCCAGGUAAGGUUCUUCGCGUUGCGUCGAAUUAAACCACAUGCUCCACCGCUUGUGCGGGUCCCCGUCAGUUCCUUUGAGUUUCACACUUGCGUGCGUACUCCCCAGGCGGGAUGCUUAAUGCGUUAGCUGCGCCACC